UACGAAGGGGGCUAGCGUUGCUCGGAAUCACUGGGCGUAAAGCGCACGUAGGCGGCUUUAAGUACGUAGGGGUGAAAUCCUGGAGCUCAACUCCAGAACUGCCUUUGAUACUGGAGAGCUUGAGUCCGGGAAGAGGUGAGUGGAACUGCGAGUGUAGAGGUGAAAUUCGUAGAUAUUCGCAAGAACACCAGUGGCGAAGGCGGCUCACUGGCCGGUACUGACGCUGAGGUGCGAAAGCGUGGGGAGCAAACAGG
rnacentral:rRNA from 1 species